rnacentral:rRNA from 1 species
AACUAGAAGUGCCUUCGGGAGCCGGUGACAGGUGCCGCAUGGCUGUCGUCAGCUCGUGUCGUGAGAUGUUGGGUUAAGUCCGCAACGAGCGCAACCCCUAUCUUUAAUUGCCAUCAUUCAGUUGGGCACUUUAGAGAGACUGCCGGUGUUAAGACCGGAGGAAGGUGGGGAUGACGUCAAGUCCUCAUGGCCUUUAUGUCUAGGGCUACACACGUGCUACAAUGGGUGGUACAAAGAGCAGCUAACUCGCGAGAGUAUGCAAAUACUCAAAAAGCCAUCCUCAGUUCGGAUUGGAGUCUGCAACUCGACUCCAUGAAGUUGGAAUCGCUAGUAAUCGCGGAUCAGCAUGCCGCGGUGAAUACGGUUCCCGGGCCUU